CCGUCUCUUGUCUCGAUGGAAUUUGUUUUUGUUGGGCUCUUGUCUCUAUUCGAUCCAAUCUAUCAUGCAAUAUAUCAAAAUUUGAUUUCACCAUUCUACGCAUUUCUUGCAUUAAAUAUUGGAAAUCUGAUUCAGAAAAUUCUUCUUGAAACAUGAUUUAAUUCUCACCACAAAAAUCUCACGUUUCACUCGCAAAGAAAAAUUCGCACAAAUUUGGCUUUUACUUCUCUCGAAUGGUCUCACCAAACACUCUUUCCUUUUUCCACUCGAUUUUCGCCUCUCGAAGUUCUUCGCAAACUAAGUCAACAAAUUAAUACCGUUUGGCGUCGGCUUACAAAAUUAAUUUGGCUUGGUGGUAAUGACGUCGGAAAUGGUAGGCUAUCAAACAAAAUAGAAAUGGUUAAGUGUGGCUAUAUAGAUAUGGUCCUUCGGGCAACAAGCAAUGCUUUUACAAACCCAAAACGAAUUUCAAUCACUUUUUUUUUUUUCAAUUUUGAUUUUUUUUUCUUCUUUUUUUGUUUUAAUUCCGAAUUUUUUUUUUCUUCUUUUUUUUUUCUUCAAUACUAAAUACAAA
rnacentral:lncRNA from 1 species